rnacentral:rRNA from 1 species
AGCGAACGCUGGCGGCAGGCCUAACACAUGCAAGUCGAACGAACACGUCGGUGUUAGUGGCGGACGGGGGCGUAACACGGGGUAACGCGCCUUUAGGUUCGGAAUCACUCAGGGUAACGUGUGCUAAUACCGAAUGUGACCUCCGGGGGAAAGAGGUAUCGCCUGUAGAGCGGCCAGUGCUUGAUUAGCUAGUUGGUUGAGGUAAUGGCUCAUCAAGGCGAGGGUCAGAAGCUGGGCACAGAGGAGGAUCAGACACACUGGGACGGGGACACGGCCCAGACUCCUACGGGAGGGAGCAAUGGGUGAUCUUGCGAUAUGGGCGGAAGCAUGACGCAGCCAUGGCGGGUGAAUGAUGAUGGUCUUAGGGUAGUAAAAUUCUUUCAUCGGGGACGAUAAUGACGGUACCCGAAGAAGAAGCACCGGCUAACUACGUG